rnacentral:rRNA from 1 species
UACGAAGGGGGCUAGCGUUGUUCGGAUUUACUGGGCGUAAAGCGCACGUAGGCGGCUUUCUAAGUCGGGGGUGAAAUCCUGGAGCUCAACUCCAGAACUGCCUUCGAUACUGGAGAGCUCGAGUCCGGGAGAGGUGAGUGGAACUGCGAGUGUAGAGGUGAAAUUCGUAGAUAUUCGCAAGAACACCAGUGGCGAAGGCGGCUCACUGGCCCGGUACUGACGCUGAGGUGCGAAAGCGUGGGGAGCAAACAGG